rnacentral:rRNA from 1 species
UUCCCUCAGUAACGGCGAGUGAAGAGGGAAGAGCUCAGUUUUGAAAUCUGGCAGUCAUUCACUGUCCGAGUUGUAAAUUGAAGAGAUUGUCAUCCACACUGGACCAUGUCUAAAUUGUAAUGAUCCACAGUCCUUUGAUGGAGUAUCAGAGAGGGUAAUAAUCCCGUCUUUAACGUGGACUCCCAGUGUUUAUGUGAUGCAUUCUCUCAGAGUCGAGUAGUUUGGGAAUGCUGCUCUAAUGGGAGGUAAACUCCUUCUAAAGCUAAAUAUUGGCGAGAGACCGAUAGCGAACAAGUACCGUGAGGGAAAGAUGAAAAGAACUCUGAAAAGAGAGUCAAACAGAACGUGAAAUUGCUGAAAGGGAAGCGUUUGGAGUCAGAUGCGUCUUCAUGGAAUAACGGCUUCUGCAAAGAAGGUCAGUGACUUGAAGAUGGGCCAGCACUCACGUAGACCAUUGGAAAAGGGGUCAUUGGAAUGUAGCUCACUUGUUGAGUGAUUAUAGCCUUGAUUCAUAUACAAUGUGUGUGUUAUGUGAGAUAGACAGCACGACUCACUCAGUCAGUGCUUGCUUGAUUGGCAUAAUGGCUCUAAGCGACCCGUCUUGAAACACGGACCAAGGAGUCUAACAUGUAUGCGAGUAUUAGAGUGAUUGAAACUCUGAAUGCGCAAUGAAAGUGGUCUUUGACUGAGAAUCCUCAGUUAGGGGAGGCAUCAGUACCCCGAGUCUGCUAGUCUUUGACUAAAGAUUUGGAGGUAGAGCAUAUAUGUUGGGACCCGAAAGAUGGUGAACUAUGCCUGAAUAGGGUGAAGUCAGAGGAAACUCUGAUGGAGGCCCGUAGCGAUUCUGACGUGCAAAUCGAUCGUAGAAUUUGGGUAUAGGGGCGAAAGACUAAUCGAACCAU